AGGCAGCAGCUAGGGAGGAAGCGGAGGAGGCGGAGGCGGCCGCGGGGUUCGCCCGUCUGCUCGUUCACCGGCUUUCCCCGCCCCUGCCGCUCUCGCUGCCGCUGAAAGGAGCUGGGGGCGCGCUGUCGCAACCUGCCCUCGGCUUGGCUGGCGGCAGUUGAGACCCGACCUGCCUGUACAUCAGCCUUCCUGUCCGGGCGGCGCGGCGUGGGCUCGCGGGCGCCUGAAGGUUACCGAGUGCAUGACUGCCUAGCGCCUCUCGCGCUGUCCCGCCCGCCGGGUCGUCCGCCCGCCAGUCCGCCGGCUUCCCCGCAAGCUCCUCGGCACCCGGCGGCGGCGGCGGCCGCCACGGCGACAACGGCCGCAGGAGGCGCCGUCUCCCGCCCAGGUGCACGUUUAGCUCCCGGCGCCUCGGAACUCGGCCGCCGCCAUGGCGUCCAACAUGGACCGCGAGAUCAUCCUGGCGGAUUUUCAGCCAUAUUACAUUUGUCAUCUGACACCAAGAUUUGGCCAAGGAAAUGCAAAUGCAAGAUUCUGUGAUCAUGGAAAGGUAUGUAUCUCCAGUUUGCAACAGUUGUAUACGUUUUUGAAAAUGCCCUAGAUUGUACUGUUAUUGGAUUCUGGGAUGCUCCUUCCAAAGAUGCUAAGAUGCUUUCUAAGGUCUUGCUAUCCUGAACAAAGGAUUGGUAAAGACAAGCAAAAAGACAGCAAGGUUUUACAUUUGUUAAAAGUAUUAAAGACAGAAAAAGAAAUGUGGUCUGUUGAGUCAGUGUGGGUCAAUUAGCAGUAAGAAAAGAAAUAUGCUCUACUGAGUAAGAGUGAGCCAUUAAGGAAGCUUACUGUGGCCAAGAGCUUAAUGGCAGCCAUAUUUUGUAUCUCUCACUCUUCAUGUUGAUGUCAGAUCUAGGCUGUUCUGUCAAAAACCUACUUGGUCUCUCUUGAGAAGAACUGAAGGUAGCACUUGCUGACUGAUCUCAUGUGCUGGGCUCUGAGGACUGCUUUUCUGAGUAUACGCCCUGGAGCUGCCUGAUUCACUGGUCAUACCUACUUGUUCAGCAGGUUUGCCAUGCCCUUAUCUCCUGUUUCACUUUCCCCCUGAGAGAUAUUAACUCCCAUAAUUCUUUUUUUUUCUUUCUUUUUUUUUUUUUUUUCCGGUACCGGGGACAGAACUCACGACCACCUGCUUGCAAGGCAGGUGCUUAUGCCACUGAGCUAAAUCCCCAGCCCCACUACCAUAAUUCUUUAUAGGUUGCUGAGGGCAUGGCAGCCUCUGUCCUCAUAUAGCUACUUCUAACUGAAAGGGGUUAUGGAUCCUGUUUAUGGGGGAUUGUGCUUUCUCCAACAACUUUGGGAUCCUGGGAUGCUGCAGCUCACCAGCAAGGUCGAGAAAAAACCGUCAGAAGACAAUAAGAAAGGAAUUAGUGUCUAUAUGUGGAGAAGUGUUGAAAUGCCUGUUUAAUGGGAGAAAGCUUGGUGAAUUUGUCAGGGGAGUCAUGGGUUACUGUCUGAAUCACCAUCUGAAGCCUUGAAUAGGUCAACUCUACUAGUGGGUUGAGGAUGCAGAGUCCAAACUUGAUGUGGAGCAUGUCAGAAUAUUUCCCAAUCUGUCUAAGAAGGUGAAUUAUGACAGAUCUGGCAAUUGGAGACAUUAAGUUUUAUUUUUAAUUUUUUGGAGUAGAUAGCAUGAUGAAAAAAGCAGAUAAAUUAUCAAGAGCCUGAGAACAGUAGCGUUAGCAAGGUUGCCCAUAAAAACAAGAGCCUCAAUACAGUGCUAAGCUGAUUACUUAUCUGCACCCAGAAUAGUACUAGAGUCUUGCCUUUUGAAGAGAAGCCUCAGAUGUUCCAAAGAUUCACAGGAGUAGCUGUCUUUUAACAAAGGAAAUGGUCUGAGAUUUUCAGGAUUAUUGUAAAUACAUAGUAGGCAAGCUUUGACAACAGAUUAUAUGGUCCCUGCUAGUCCAAGUCCUGUGAAAAUCUGAGCAACCAUUUCCCAUGCUUCAUAAAUGGAAAGAACUGUGAAGGAUUUUUACAACCUUCUGCUGUGUCCCUUAAGGAAAGACCAAUUAAAUGGUUUUCAGGAACUGACAAUAAGGCUUGGGUUUUGAGGGGCUAUAAGGCUGCUUUUCUUAUCUAUCAGAAGAAUUAAAAUUUCCAGAGGAGACAUCACACAUGUCUCUUUGGUGUUCUUUGCAAUGAAUAACAGCAACCUGCUUGGGAAGAGAAGUUGCCUCCAAUUUUACUAGUAAAUUUCUCCUAGUAAGAUAGUAGGAUCUAGUAGGAAAAUUAAAGACUCUUGGUUAUACAUUUGACCUUCAAGUUGGCAUGUCAAAGGAAGAGUAAAGAAGCCCUGACUAUGGUUUCUCUCAACCCCAAUUAUGGCUUUAGAUGUGGAGGAGAGAUUUCUAGAGAAGGAAGGUAAAACAGUACUAAGAAUGUAUUUAAUAGUGUAUCAGUAAAAUGAUCAUAAAAUUGAUUUUUUAAGUAAUUGAUGGAGUAUCAAGAGAAGUUCCAUUGUUUUAACUGAAUUUCCAAGUAUGUAAAUUAUACACUAAGUAAUUUUAAGUGCUCAGUUGUUGAAAUGACCAGUAAGAUUAAGGUUUAGUGACAAAACAACUUUAAUACAAAGGAAAAAUAUAGUAACAGCAAAAAGAGAAUAUACAAGAAGAAUUUAGAGUUCUUAGAAGCCAGUGCUUUGAUCUAUCAACCACUGGUUAGACAUAAGAUAUGCACUGUCCCUAGGUCUCAAAGAACCAUCAGUCUGUAUGUGAAAAACUUCAGUUCCAGAAAACUCCAAAUCUGCUCGUAGUAGAGUUCUUAUAUUGAAUUGGACGCUUAAGUGUUCUAGCUAUGCAGCCAGAGUUCAUCUUCAAACUCCCCCAUCCCUAGUUUCCACUGAAGUCAGGUUAAAACAAUAAAAUACAUCACUAAGAAAUGCAAGUAAUAACAUUGUUCUGAAACAACAAGUAAACUUACAAUUUUAGAAAGUCAGUUUCUUAAUAUAUUCUUUUUUUUGGCACUGAGAAUUGAACUCAGGACCAGGUGAACGCUUGCCAGGUGAACACUGUGCCACUGAGCUACAUCCCUGGCAAAGUUAAUAGAUUCUCUAAUCCUGAGCAAGUGUAAACAACUCUGGAGAUAAGCAGGGUCAAUCUAAAUCAGAUGAGAUUAAUCUAAUACUAAAAACAAAUAUAUUCUGUUUAUCAUCUGUACACCCUCCAGAAGAUAAGCGUAAGUUACCCAAGAUAUAGACAACUUUCUACCUACUAGUAGUUUAAUAUGAGAAACCCAAAUAUUAGAUAUCCUUGCAAUUAUGGUGAAGUAGCAAAGGACAUAUCAUCAAUAGAAAAUUAGAAAAUAUGCAUGGGACACAUUUUUUUCUUUUUGGAUUUUUAGAGAAUGGACAUAAGAAAAUCAGCGAGGUGAGCUCUGAUUUCCUCAGCUUUGUGCCUGGAGACAAAUUGUUUAUUAUGGCCAAUCAAAUAAAGAAUAGGACUAAAUCUCAAUCGAACUGAAUUGAGAAGACCUAGUAGAUUCAGAGAGAUAAAGGCGCAGGAAAAUUCAAGGCUAAAUCCUUGAAACAAGGGAGUUAUUAAGAAAAAGAAUUCCAGAAAUAUUCAAACAAAGAUCCUUGAAAAUUUUACUACUAAAUUGUGCUUGGAUAUAAUGACACUGCAAAACUGGGCAAAGAAUUGCCAAUGAGUCAUAUGACCAAAACUUGACAGAACUCAUACAAAGCAGAGAAAUACUCAAACAUGAACCAGUCAGAGUGUAGAAUUCUUGGUGAUUUCACAAAAAAUUCAGUGGUGCCCUUAGAAAGGCAUACCAUAAGACUGGGCUUGAUCUAUUAUUUCAAGGUUACAUAAAUGACAUAUCAAAGCUUGAAAACAAGAUGCUGUUGCAAUAAAAUCAACUUCAGGUAACAGCAGACAAUCAAAAUUAAGCCUAAUCAUCUAUAUUUUGUCAAUAUUCUGACAUAAAUUCAGAUAUCCAACAACAUAAUAACUCAACUUUCAGUAUCUAAUAAAAAGUGUUACCUGUGGCAAGGAAGAAAACCAGGAGAAAAAUCAAUAACCAGAAUGAGAUGCAGAAAUCACAGAGAUGCGAAAAUUAGCAUAAAUAAUUUAUGGAGACAAGCAUAGAAAGAAAUGAAACAUGCACAAAAGAACUAAAAAGUGCAUCUCAAAUGCUCAUUUGAGUGGAUGAGGAAGCUGUAGAUGUAGCUACUAUCGAAGGUAAAGUUAGCCAACCUGAAGAAACAGGAAUAAAAUCUUCCUAAAACUAAACGCAAAGAAAAAAAGGUGAAACAGAAAUUAAAUGACUUAAAAAAAGUGAUCAAUUAAUUUAAUAUAUAAUUUGAAUCCCAGAAUGAGAGGAAGAAUUUCAAAAAUAAAAUAUUGGAGAAAUAUUUCCAUAUUUGAUGAAAACUAUAAAACCAGAGCACCAUGAAAUAGAAUGAACUUCAGGAAACACACACACACACACACACACACACACACACACACCCUCCCAUAUAUAUAUGAACCUCAUCAUGGCAUAUCACAAUAAAAUAUGGAAAAAAGUGGUAAUAUAAAAAUUCUGAGAAAUGAAAGCAAAAUUUCAAAAAGAUAUUUGUAUACCCAUGCUGAUGACCAUAAUAUUCCUAGUAGCUAAUAAGUGAAAACAACCUGCACAUCCAUCAACAUAUUAAACAAACAAAAUGCAGUAUAUGAAUACAGUAAACAUUAUCAGCCUUUAAAAGGCAGGAAAUUCUGAUAUAUGCUACAAACAUGAAUGAAACUUGAAGAUGUUGUGCUAAAGGCAAUAAGCCAGUUACACAAAAGCAAAUACUGUAUACUUCCAUGUAUGUGAAAUUCAGUAGUAAAAUUCUUACAAACUCUUAGAGACGUAAACCAGAAUGGUGGUUGCCCAGAAUGGCAGAAGGAAGAAAUGGGGAAUUAUUGCUUCAUGGGAAAAUGAUUCAGAUUUGCAAAAUGAAAAGUUAUUGAGCUGGUUGGUGGUGAUGUUUGCAAACAACUGUAAUAUACUUUAAAUACAUUAUCACUGAGCUUUACACUUAAAAACAAUAAAGAAGUAAAUGUCAUAGUAUAUGUGUUUAAUGACAAAAAAGACAAGAUUCUUUAGUAUUGCUUAUUUUAAUGUGUGAAUAAGAUGUCAGUGUUAGUCAGUAUUAGUGUGGCACAAAUAUACUUUAUUUUUAAAGUAUUUUAUAUUUCAAUUGAAUAAAUCUUUAUGAGAAGGACUUUAACAACAAACAAACGUUGCUUUCUGAUGAAAUGCAAUGCUCCCAUUCUAUUUAUCUUUUCAUCGUGUGUUCCCCCUGCUCUGAGAUAAUCAUAUAAUUAACUUUAUUAGUCUUUUUUAUCCUAUAGAUUCUAGUAUUUGACAAAUAUGCAAUGUGAUACAUACAGAAGUUUAUGGUAAACCUGUUUAUAACUAUUCCAUGCUUUCUAUAAGCUAAGCAUAGCAACAAACAACAAAUGCAUAGCAUUUUCUGUUUGCUAUAAAUCACAUCCAAAGUCAUAAUGGAAAAAAUAGAAUCUGGAUUCAGAUCCAAGAUCCACGUCACUCUCAGUUCUGUGCUUUUUACACAGGACUCACCUCCUCAGACAGGGUCACUUCUGUGAAUUCCUUCCUUGUUUUUCAACAAACCACGUAUUUUUCUCCAUGUCAUAUAUGCCUUUGUAUCUUUUGUACCUCAAAAAUCAGUAAGAUAAAUGUCUGAAUACACCAUUCACCACACAUUUUCUUACUUUGAAUGUGUAGUAUGUGCACAGUAGUUUCUUUGAAAUAACGAUCUCACACUUUAUUUAGCAAGGGAAAAAAAUCAUUGUUCAUUUUAAUGAGCUAAUCCAGCACCUAAAAAAACACAACCUACUAACAGGUUAUAAAUCUACAUUUGCAAAAACUACUGGCACAAAAUGUAGAAAGGAUUGUUCUCUGUGUACAGUAUUAACAAGCAAACUCGAGAAUAAAUCCAAGGUUUUAAAAUAAGAGAGAGUGUAGAGGGUUUAUAAUAUGAUCAUCAGUUGUCUGAAUUCUAUCAUGUGGUCAAAACAAAUUAUUUAAUCUUUGAAUUUGUUUCCUUAUCUUUGUAGCGGAGAUGCAGAUUACAACCUGAUAGCCAAAUACAUAUGGGCAUACAAGUACAGAUUCUCAGGUUCUUUUCCAGAUGAUGAAACUGGAAUCUCCCAAAGUGAUAAUGAAGGAAAUUCAAAUCUUUUCUAAGGAAAUUGGGUUCCUCUAGGACAAUAAAUGAAAAAUAACAAUUCCAAGUAACACAAGAAAUACAGAAAAAUGACUGCACAAACUAUCACCCACACACUCUAAUUAGAGGUUAAUAAUCAAUUGCAAGUGUUCUUUCUCCAAAGCCAUUGACAGUGCUUCCUCAUGGUGCCAUGUUCAUUUCCUUACUUCUAUUAGUGCAUUUCUUCUUGCUCGUCCACCCUGCAAAAGAAUUUAAGCAAAUCUAUGCUUCCUUACACAUUUAUAUUAACAUCAAAAGUUUUAAAUGAGUUAAAAUAAUUGGAAUAUGUACAAUCUACUAGUGUAAAACUUAUAGAAAAUUUUUGUGGGCCUGGCUAAAUCCACUACUAAGUACACAAUUUGCCAGUACCAGAGACCAAUGCUAAGCCACCAAUAUGAAACUUGCUUCCAGAGUGAUCAGCCAUCUGAUAGCAGACUGAUUACAAUGAAAGUAUUCCAUUGUGAAAGGGGUAGUAUUUUAUCUUUACUGAAAGUCAAUUUCUCUGGAUAAAUUGCCUUUCAAUUUCAGUUGCAUUUCUUCUAUUCAAUGCUUCUACCCAAGCUACUAUUUAUGCACUUACAAAAUGAAUUGUCCACUGAUUUGAUAUUCUAUACAGCAUUGAUUCUGAUGAAGAAAAUCACUUCAUAGUUAAAGAAGUGCAGUAGUGGGCUCAUAUUUAUAGAAUUUACUGAUUGCAUGCUCCCUACCAUCCUGAACUAGUUGUUCGACAGAAUCAUGGGAUGGCCUUUGGAACACUCAGUUGUACUUCCAACUAAGUGAUCUAUGUUUCAGAGCUCUUUCAGAGGUUGUAGGUGCCCUGAACCAGUGAACAAUCCUCCAACAUAUGGUACUUUCCCAAUACUAACCAAGAGGUGGAAAUACCAAUGGUGCUUACUGUGUGUGAGUGUCCUAGAGACACACUUUAAAAAUGUUUCUUGUUCCCAUGCCUUUAUGCUUUGCUAACCUGGAGAUCCUGAGAGCAGAGAAAGACCACUUCCACCAGAAGGCACAAUAAUGAUUCCAUUGGACUGGAAGUUCAGAUUUCUACCCAUUCACUUUGGGUUUUUCAGGGCUCCAGCUCAACAGGCUAAGAAGAGCAUUAUGUUGUUUUCUGGGUCACUGAUUUGGACUACUAAGGGAACAUUGGACUGCUCUCCUACAGUGAGAUAAAAAUGAGUAUAUCUGGAACACAGGCGGUUAAUUAGGGUAUUUCAUAGUUUUACAGUGCCCUAUGAUUAAUCUACUUAGCGAACUACAACAAUCCAAUAGGAGAGUUGGUUGGGAAAGUGGAGUUCUACAAACAUCAGUCAUCUAGCGGGAGUCUGCAAAGGUGAAAAAGUAUAGGAUCCUUGGCAGCAAAAGUUGUAGAGUGUUCAUGGUGGCAGUGAUGGCUUCUGCUUUCCUCUACAGCUGGAGUCAUGGUCACUGGGAACUAUGGUGGUACUUGCCACAUAGCUGAUAACGAUAGCUACUGCUAUUUAAUGUUUCAGAGACCUCAGCUGCCCAUUUCCCUACUUACGUGGGUGUGGUAAAACCAAUACAGUUCAUUCAAACACUUUCUACUCAUUCAGUCAUCUUGGAGAUUUUGCACCAUUGAUGUCCUGAAGGUUAACCCUAUUCCUGAUUCUCUCCCAGUGCCAUUUUUAUUCAUGGAUAACUGGCUGUCCUACUCUGCUGUCUGGGUGACAUCAUUUAGUGACACUUUCAAAUACUUGACACUAACAAUUAUCUGGACACAUGGGUUAAGUUAUUGUAUAACAGGCAGAUGUUAAUCUGAUGGCUAUACAAUAAAUAUUCUCUUGGUGCAAACUUUAUUUGGAGCCAAAUAUGUGAUUUGUCACAACAAUACUGGUCUAGUUUUCUUAUUCUUGAGACAGAUAAACAGUGUGUGUGUGUGUGUGUGUGUGUGUGUGUGUGUGUGUGUGUAUGAAGGAGACUGUUAUUAAGAUUUUAAAAAUAAAAAUAAACCAAAGGGUUAUGUGGUUGGUGAAAAAUAAUUUGAUUUUUAAAGUGAUAUUUGGAAAUCAAAUAAUUUCUGAUUAAUAGUAUCAGAAAAUUAUGCUGGAAGAAAUUUUUCUGUGCACAAUAAUCUUGGCCUAGAAUUCAGAAAUGUAAAUAUUUUUAUACAUUUAUAUGUGACCUUGUAUACGUGUUUUUACUUCUUGUGAUAAAGUAAACAAUUUUUCUUAGAAUACAUUAUUGGUACAUAUUAAUUGGAUUUUUAUGCAUAAAUGCAUCUUGACUGACACUGAUUUAAAUACAUCUAAAUAUAUUUUGGGUUUUAUUUUAAAACACUGGUAAUACAUCUAUUUUUAAAUCACUCCUAUUGGAAAAGUAUACUUUUGUCUUCAAGGAUUUAUAAUAUUAUCAAUAUUAUUUUUAUUUCAGUUUAUAUUGAAUGAGACAAAGUGACAUAUAUUUAUUCUAUUUUUAUAAUAGAAAAUUUCUACUUUGAGUAACCUAAUGCAUGUGGUAGACAAAAAAUAUUUAAACAAAAUUAACACCAUAUGCUUAUGCCUUUUAAAAUUCUUGGAGGUAAGGUUGAAGAUUUGAAAGGCAACAUUAACAUGGAAAACAGGGAAAUCACAGUUAACAUUGCCUGACAGUUAUAUCACAGGGGAGAAAGUAUCUCUUUCCAUGUCAACUUCAGCUCAAAUGAUGAGAUAGUUCACCCCAUCCUAUAGGUGAUUCACAAUUUAAAAUCAGAGACCACCCCUAAGUCAUGUUAUCUCUUGAAUUAUAUUGCCAGUUGUGGGGGAGGGAGAGGAUAGCUCUUUCUGUGACAUGUGGGCCUUUUCCAAGCCUCCUGGAAGUACUCUACAUAAAUCAAGGAUUAGGUAACCAGACAGGAGGAUGUGGAAGAAUGCCACACUGGCUCUUUGAAUUGUAAGGCUAUUCUUAUCUACUGUUGCUCUGAAUUCCAUUUUUUUCCCAGUCAAAUGUACAACCUGUAACUCCCAGCAAACAUAGGGUCAGAGGAACCCAGGUGCCUAUUCCAUUCCUCUACACAAUGGAGGGGCUGCCAAAGUGGGAGGUGCUUGAGGCCUCACAACCAGCUUGUUGGGAAAAACUCAGGAGAAUUUCAAGACAAAGGAGAAAAAGGCAAUCUCAGAUCUCCGGCUCAUACAAGUCUGGGAGAUACAGUCAUGGAAGAAAAUGGAAAUCAUACACCUGAAAUCUCCAAUAGGAUAACAACCGAAGUAGAGAAACAAUUUCAUGAGACUGUAAAAGUAAUCAAAUCAGAAAUACUAUCUCAGGUAAAAGAAGAAAUCACAAACAUAAUGAAAGAAUUGCUCACCAUAUCUAAAGAAGACAUAGAUUUAAAAAAAAAAAAAAAAAGACGAGUGCUGGGCAUGGUAGCUUACUCCUGUAAUUCCAGCACUCGAGAGGUUGAGGCAGGAGGAUUAUUGUGAGUUUAAGACCAGCUGAGGCUACAAAGUGCACUCAAGGCCAGCCGGAACUGUAUAGAGAGACACUGUCUCAAAAAGACAAAAAAAAAAAAAAAAAAAAAAAAAAAAAAGACAAAAAAAAGAGGAGCAUAGGAAAAUGAUGGAAAUCUUGAAUGACCAAUGUAGAAAGGAAUUGCAAUGCAUGAAACAGAUCCAAAGAGAGAUCCAGGAAAUUAAAAAGUCAAUCAAAAGCUGGCAAAACCAAUGGAAAGAGACUGAAGAUAAACUUUCAAACCUUAAAGACAGGAUUGCAGCUAGUGAUCAUGAAAGGAAAGAUCUUUUAAAAAUAACAAGGAACCAGGAUAACAAUUCAGUGGCUGCAAGACAACACAAAGAAACAUAAUUUAAGAGUGAUAGUUAAGUGAAGAUGCAAGGGUCAAUACAAGUGAAAUAAAAAGGCUAUUUACAGAAGUAAUAGCAGAAAACUUCCCAAACAUGGGAAAAGGAUCUAGUAUAUGGAUAAACAUAGAACCCCAAUUAGCCAUAACCAGUGUAAAUCUACACCCAGACAUAUAAUAAUCAAGAUCCCAGAAAUUUAGUACAAGAACAGAAUAUUAAAAGCUAUUAGAGAAAAGAAACGGAUCAUCUACAAAGGAAAGGAUAAGAAUCAUGGCAGACUUGUCAACAUAAACCAUCAAAUCAAGAAGAGUUGGGACUGAACUAUUUCAAAUCCUGAAACCAAACAACUUUCAACCCAGAUUGAUGUACCCUGAAAAUUAUCUUUCAAAAUUGAUGUAAAAAUAAGAUACUUUCAUGACAAAGAACAACUAAAGGAGUUCACGACCACCAAACCAACCCUACAGAGAGUGCUAAAGGGUAUUCUAGAGAGAGAUAAAGAUGACCAUGGCUCCAGGAACAGCAGCAAAAGAAGACCACCAAACAGGACAAGCAAUUGAAUGAAGGGACAAAGUGGAAGGCCAACAGGAGGAGGAUAGUAUGCCAGAGAUAAACCAAUAACUGUUGCUUGUAACCACUGAUUUAGAUGGCCUCAGGUCAGCAAUAAAAAGAAACUCAGGGAGAGUGGAUAAAGAAACAAUAUCCAUCAAUAUGCUGUAUACAAGAAACACAUCUAACUGGAAAGGAAAUUAAGAGACUGAAAAUCAAAAGAGAGAAAACAAUUGUUCUGUAUGACAGGAGAACAGGAAAAAAAGCAAGAGUAACUUGCCCAUUAAUCACAGAAUAAAUAAGAAAGAUAUAGUAUUUUCAUACAAUGGAAAGCUACCCAGCUAUAAAGUAGAAUAAUCUUGAGGCUCUUGUAGGUAAAUAGAUGCAACUGGAGAUCAUGUUCAUGGGCAAAACAAUUUGAACUCACAUGGGUGAGCACUACCAUAAAAAACAGGAGUUAGUGGAAUCCAAAAAGCACAAUAGAUAUAAUAAAAGUGAUGAGGGAGAAAACGUCUAUGAAGGAAAGCUGGUAAUCACUGUUAAUUUCUUGUGGUCUUGUCUUGAACUCUUGUAUUGUUUUCACAAUUUUGUUAGGUUUGGUUUUAUUCUAUCUUGUUUUGUUAGAUUUUACUGUGUCUAAAGGUAUAGGCAGCUAUUUUGAACAUAAUAGGAUAUAUUAUGGUAAUCAUGGUUGGUUUCCUAUCAUAAGUCCUAUAUUGUCUUUAUUAAUUUGUUUAAUUGGUUUUAUUCCACUUUGUUUUGAUUUUAUUAUGUGUGAUGGUAUGAACACCUAUGUUGAAGAAAAUGAAAGACAUUAUGGUAGCCACUGUUGAUGUCUUGUUAUCUUGUUGUAAAGUCCUAUGUUGCUUGCAUAGUUCUGUGCUUAUUUGCUUUGUUUUAUCUUAUUUUGUUUCGCUUUCUCUAAAAUAAAAAAAAGUAAGCAAUUAUGGGGCUUUCCUUUUUCAGACAAAGAAGGUUAACUAGUUUUAGAUCAAUGAGCAAGGAUAUGUGAAGUACAAAAUAGGAAUAUUUCUGAAAAGACAAGUAGUUGUUUGCUUGUUCUGGUCAAUAGAAGAAUUUGCAUUACAAUAAAACAUCUGAUGUAGUACAGAUACUAUAACUAGAUUAAGUUUAAUAUUUUGAUAUUGCCAUUAUAGCUCUCAGACAAGGUAACUUGUAGUUUCUGAAUCUAAUGAAGGAAUGAAAUAAUAAGCCUUAAAGAGCACCAUGCAAAUCAAUCAGCACUCCUCCGCCAUGUCCAGAUCAUUUAUAAACAAAAAUGUUUUGUGAAUUUAGAAGCCUGGAAAAAUAUUUUAUUAGAUAUUUCAUUAGUUUUUAUGUAAACAUGUGUAUUUCUUUUAAGUUGAAAAGUAUACAAUUUCAGAAGAUGCUUAUAUUUUCAUAUUGUGCUUACUGUAUAAUUAAACCAGAAAUAAAAACUCUUUUUAUUAUUAUUUGUUUUAGUUCUAAGUUUGGUAGACAAAAAUGCUCAAAUCGUUUCUGACUGAAUUACAAUUUGGAGGAUUUUAAACAAAUUCAUACUCCUUGUGGUUUUGUAAAGGAUUAAACACUUAUGUUACUGAAUAAUCAUUUUAAGAAAUCCAAAAACACAUCAGGUAUAAAAAGUAUCAGUCAUGUUACUCUGGAUCUGAGGAAAGCAGAAGUAAGACCAAUUAAAGAGGCAAAGACAAAUUUCCACAAAAUGUCCACAAACAUAAAAACAAUAACAAAUGGUUAUUUUAAAACAAAUUACCAUAAUUUUAAAAAGCUUUUAAAUAUGAUUUAUGAUGAUGUUCAAAUAUAGAAUUAACAAUAAAUCAAUGACAGAAAAAGUCAGAACCUACUAACCUGGUCAUAAAAUAAUCUAGUCUUUCUAAAUUAAAAGGGAUAAAAUAUUAUUUUAUUUCUUUGGUACUUAUUAAUGCAUCAAUGCAAUAAAUGAUGUAUUAAAAUAUCUUAUAUUUAGGCAUAUGAAAUAUAUAGAUACAGAAAAAUUUUAAUUAUAGUUUAAAGAAUAAGCAAUAUACUAAAUGAGUAUCUAGUCACAAAUGUAUUACUAAACAUAUUUAUAAAAUAAUUGCAUAUAUGCCUAGUUUUGUUUAGCAUCUAAAUAAAAUUAAUUGGUUUUAAUUGACAGCUAAACUGGGCAUAUUUAUCAUGUACAACAUGAUGUUUUGGAAAAUGGUUAAAUUUUGCUAAUCAACAAAUGCAGUAGUUCACUAAUUAUCACUUUUGUAGUGAGAAAAAUUAUCUACUGCCUACAUUUUUCAAUAAUAGAGCGUAAUUAACUGUAGUUAUUAGGUUGUAAACUUCAUAUGUUUAACUUGUUCCUAUCUAGGUUGAGUUGUUAAUUAACAACUUCCUUAAUAAUAAUACAAUAUCUAUAUUAUAUUAUAGAAAAUAUCUAUUACCUUAUAUAAAUAUUUAUAUUUUUCUGUAUUUUUACCAACUAUUGUUGACUAUUUACAUUAAUGUUUGUAUCUAAGGAAAACAGGCCCAUUUUUUCACUAGGUAUAAAACAUAUUUUUCUUGUGAAUCUACAAGUGUUAUAAAAUAAAAGUUUAUGAAAUAAUCAACCUUCUAGUUAUAAAAAGAACAAACUAUUAGUAAAAAUUACACAUGAAUAAGCCUCACAUUUUUCUAAUUGCAAGAAGCCAGUUGUAUUAUCUGAUUUUACUUGCAUAAACAUGUAGAAAAGGUAAAAUCUAUACGUGUAUGGACUCUAUUUGUGUAAAUGUGUAGAAAAGGUAAAAUCCAUAAAAGCAAGUAGGUUUGUUGUUACUUAGGGCUGAGAGUGAAAUUAACUUCAAACAAGUGCAAUAUGACUUUUUGGGUGAUAAAAUGCUAUAAAAUUGUGUGAUAGUUAUUGCUGUACACAUCUGUAAAUGCAUGAAAAUAAUUGAAAUGUACAUUUACAUAAGUGCUUUUUAUGAUGUGAAACUUACAUGUGAAUAAAGAAGAAUCAAAACUUCCCCAAGGUAGUGAGAUGUAAAAAUAAUGAUAAUGUAAUUGACAACUGCCAUUAUAACUUUUCUGAAAAAAAACAAAUGCCAGAAAAGACACAUCAAAUGGCAAAUAGCUUGCCAAAAAUCAGAACAAAUUCUAAUCAUGAAAAGACAUCAAAUACUAAAUCUAAUAAUGAUAGGACAUCAGAUAAACCAUUUUGAAAGAAAUUCUAUAAUAAAGCAACCUAUGCUUAUGAAACAGGUAUGUGAAAAAGACAAAGGUUAAGGAACUAUUUUAGAUUAAAACAAAUUUAAAAGCUGACAAUAAGAUGCAACAUGUAGCUGGUCUUGGUGGCACAUGUCUGUAAGCCCAGCAUUCAGGAGCCUGAGGCAGAAGGAUUGCCACAACUUUAAGGCCAGCCUGGGCUACAUAGUGAGUUCCAGACAGUCUGCUACAUAGCAAAUCCCUGUCUCAAAGAAAACAAAAAGGACAUUACUGGGAGAAAAAAAUAUCCCCAAAACAUGAGAUUGUGUUAUGUACAUGUACUGCUUCUCAAUGAUAAAUGUAAUCAUUAUGUACUAUAAAUAAGUACUAACAAAAAAUAAGAAUUAAAAACUCAAGAAAAAGACAUUAAUGAGAUACUUGGCAAAAUUGAAAUGCAAACCAUACUAUUACAGUACUGUACCAGUGUUUCAAUUCCUAAAUGUAUUACUUCACUGUGUUUAUAUAUGGUGUCAUUUAAAAAUUUUUUACAGUAAUGUAUUUAAGGUAAGGGAAAGCCUUGUCUGAAAUUUAAUCUCAAAGGGAUCUUUGAGCCUUUGAUUUUUCAUGUUUUUCAAAGACCUUCAAUGUUUCUUUACUACAAAAAAGGAGAGACAUGUUCACUGUAAUUGAACAUUAUGUGAUCUGUACAUGCACUGAAACAUCACAUAGUGACUCACCACAAAUGUAUAUAUAUGUGUGUGUGUGUGUCCAUUACACACCAAUGGACAGAAUAGGGUGCACAGAAGUACACCCAUUUAUUCAAGCACUUGGUUCUAAACAAAGGAGCUAAAAAUAUAGAGAACUGAAAAAACAAUAGCCUUUUAAUCAAAUGGUGCUGAGAAAAAUGGAUAUGUACUUGUAGAAGAUUGAAACUAGAUCUUAAUCUCUGACCACAUAAAAAUCAAUUCAAAAUGGAUUAUGACUUGAGUUUAAGACCUAAGACGUUGAAGCUACCUCAUGAAAAUAGAGAGGAAACACUUGAAGAGGAAUACACACACACAGGCAAAACUUCCUGACUAAGACUCCAUCAGACAGCAAAUAAUGGAAAGAAUUCACAAAUGAGACUAAUCAAAUUUCUGCACACCAAGAGAAACAGUUAGCAUAGUAACGAGUUAGCCUGCAUAACAGAAAAACAUCUUUGCCUACUAAGUUUCUUAUAGAGCGUCAACAUCUAAAAUGCAUAAAUCAUUUUUUAUACAAUCAAGUAGCCCGCGUCAACAAAUAGGCAAAAAACAAAACAAAAAAAAAACAAAAAAAAAAACAAAAAACAAAUGAUGCUCAAAAGAAGUACAUACGGCCAUUAUGUAUAUGAAAAUAUGUUCAACAUCUUUAGCCAUUAGGGAAAUGCAAAUCAAAACACAUUGAAAUUCCAUCUCACCACAGUAAAAAUGACUAUCGACAAAAAUACAUAAAACAAUAAAUGCUGGCAAGGAUCCAGGGGGAAAGGAACAUUUCUAUACUGUUGAAGGGGAAUGUGAAUUAGUACAACCACUACUGAAAUCAGUAUGGAGUUUCCUCAGAAUCUAAAAUACAGUCACGGUUUGUUCCACUCUUUAGUAUGCAUCUGAAGGAAUUAAACUCAGCAUAUUAUGGGUAUAUCUGAAUAUUCAUGCUUAUGGUGGCAUAAUUCACAUUAAGAUAUGGAUACGUAUCUGUCAACCAGUGAACAGAUUUGUUAUUUGCAGGAAAGUGGAUGGAUCUAGAGAUCACUGUGUUGAGCUAAGCCAGAUUCAGAAAGACAACUAUUAUAUGUUCUCAUUAGUAUAUGAAAUAUAAAAAGAUGAAAUGAAAGUAGAAGGGAGACUAUUAUUAGACAAGAGGAAGGGGAAUAGAAAAGAGAAGUGUAAAAGAGGGUAUAGGAAAGAUAGUUUUGAUCAAAAUAUAUUGAAACCCAAUAUUUCAUAAAAUUAAUAAAUAGUAAUUAUAAAAGGAAAACACUAAUAAAGCAAAAACAUUCAAAACCAAGAUAGUUUCAAUGAUGAAUAUUGUUAAAUACUUAACAAAUUAUUUCAAAUCUAUACAAUCUCUUCUAGUAUGUGGAAAAGAGUUCUUUAUAACUUAUUUUAUCACACAAAGUUUACAGUGAUAUUAAAAUCAUACAGACAUUAAAAACUACAGGUUAAUCUGACACAUGAACAUAGAUCCAAAAAUUCUUAUCCAAAUAUUAGUCAACCUACUCCAACUUCAUUUAAGAAUACUACUUCAUAGCCAGGUAGUAUCCAUGCCAGGAAUCCCUCCAUUCCUAAACCCCACUAUUGGAUUCAUUAUUUGUAAUCCACCAUUGAGUCAAAGAAAAAAAAUUAUAUUAUCUCAGGGAACACAGAGAAAACCUUUAAAAAACUAAAAAUCAAUUAAUGAUUAAAAAAACAAAAAUGCUCUCAAGAAUUAGGAAUUUAAAGGAACUUUUUCAAUCUGCUAGAAGACACCUAGAAAAAUGUACAAAUAGCAUCAUUUUAUUAAUGGGAAAAGACCGAAUACUUUCUAAGAUCAGGAAAAGUGUAAAAAUAUCCUUUCUUACAAUUUCUAUUCAACAUCAUACUGCAAUCCCUUGCAAGUGAAAUAUGGCUAAAAAAAGUGUGUAAAGUAAGCAAGUUUUAAAAAAUUGAAUAGUUUUUAUGUAUAGAUGAAAUGAUUAUUUACAUACAAAGUCCAGUUAGUAUUUUCAUGAUUUAGUUGGUAAUUUCAUUAUGUACGCAAAAUAAAAACAAACAGAAAUAUCCAAAAUUAAUGGCCUACUGCUUGAGAAAUCAGAAACAAGGACUCAUCUCAUACUCAAUCUGUAUACCUUUUAGAAAAAUAUUUUAGGCUCUAUUCUUUUCCAAAAAUUAACAAAAUAAAAAGUGUUUUUAUCCCUCAACAGAAACAAUACCUUCUUCAAAAAUUAAUAAAAAUCAACUUCUCAAAAACUAGCUUAUUUGCAAAAAUUAUACCAAAGCUCAAGCUGGACACUUCAAGUGUGCUAAUUAAUCUAAUCCUAGAAGCUAUGUUCCAUUUAACAAAUGCUAAUAUUCCAUUUAACAAAUCAGAAAUCAAUUAGCUCAAUGUUAAUCAUCUAAAACCAAUUAAAGGUUAAUCAACUAGCCAAGACUCUAGCUGACAAUGUCAGAGCCAAGAUAUGACACCAAGAAUGUGACUCUAGGGUCCAAGUGAUUAAGCACCAAACCAAACAUCCCCCAGGUCCCUCCUAAGCACCUCACUCUGCAUCUUCGGCUGUCUAUAAACCUGCUGCACUAAGCUCCCAGCAAUCCUGGAGGUACUAGACUCACCGCCUUCUCCACCUCUUAACUCACACUCCUGUUCCAUUCCCAGGACAAAUAAAGGAAGAAAGAGCAGCUUAGACAGUUUCUCAGUUAGAAAAACGUAAAUCAAGGCUUAGAAUAUAAGUAGAUCACUAAUUUCCCUGUAAUUUCACUGGAGCAAUUAGGAAAGAAUAAAACUCUGAAGAUCUAUAUCAUUUGUGGCCUUUAAUCAUUUCCUUUUAUGACUGAGCAACGAUAUCUAUUGUAUGACCACGCAACAUUUGAUUUAUCUUCUCCUUUAAUUUUGACUCCUCUUUUUCUCUGAGUAUGGAAUUCUGGCUUCUUUUUAAAAUUUUUAUUUUAUUUUAAAGAUAAUGUUUUGGCUCACUUAGGUUACAGUGAAAAGUCUGCGUCCAUUUUGAUCUUUCUCAUCUAUAUAUAAUGUAUUUUCUUGAUUUUACUCUCAGCCCCAUAAAGUUAUAGGAAUCUUACAAAAGUCCACUGUUCUCAGUUCUAUCUUUGAAACGUCCUGUGACUACAUAAGUAAUUUAUGGAAAAAUUAUCUACCCCUGUAAACCACAAAUAGUUAUAGACUUGCUUGGUUUUGAUAAACAAAUCCAGAUAUUUCAAACAAUGAUAUCAAGAAUUACAGCCUCACUGUUUGAUAUUUACUAGUGAGGCAUAAGCCAAAACUCUACAUUAACAUCUGACAAAAUGGAGUUUGUUUUAAUAUUGGCUGAUAUUGUUACAUAUACAAACUGUAGUAUCACCUCCCAAGGAAAAUGAAUACUCACAUUACAGUAUAUUUCCAUCCAGGACUGUGUGUGUGCUAAACAUGAAUCAUACAAAAACUUUAACAUUCACAAGAGUAGCCUAGAAUGAAUGCUUGCUCAGACUCCUGCUACUUGGCCACAUGUCAGCUUCUGAUUCACUGAAUCUAGAUAGAGACAUGAAUUUGCAAUUCAUAUUUCUUUCUCUUUCUUCCUCUCUUUUUCUUUCUUUCUCUUAUUUUUCUUUCCUCUUUUGAGACAGUCUCACUAAUUUGCUCACUCUGACUUUCAACUUGCCAUCCUCCUGUCUCUAGUUGUAAUUAUAGGUUUUCAAGCAUGAGCCACUAUUUUCAGUUUAUUCUUCUUUUUUUAAACACUCCUUGUAAUAAAGCUUUGAUUUUCACUGUGAGUCGUCCAAAUACAAUUUAGUAGACUUAAUGUAUUUCCAAUGUAUUUGUGUUCCAUAACUUAUUUUUAAAUUUCCAUGCCAUUGACUUUCUAAAAGGAGCAAAAACAGUUUCCUUUUUUUUAAGUUGAGUUCCAGAAAUAAUUGGGAAAAUUAAUAAAAAACCAAAAUGUUACACUUAUUAAAGGAAAAAUUCUGAUAUUGAACAGUAUACCUAACAUCUACAGGCAAGGGGGCUUCUGAACAGUGAAUCUGAAAAUAAGGCAAAUCUACCUCCCUGGGGUCUGAAUGGCCGUAUAAACAAAUUGAGAUACUUUCUUGGAGUCGAACUGGUGAGGAGUAGUUCAGGCAACAGUAAGAUUUAGAUUUCUUAGCCCCCAGUCCUCAUGCUCUGCAUUGUAAUUAGAUGGAAAAGAGAUUUGCAGGGAUAAGGCCAUGGUUUAAAGUUACAUGAGGCAAGGAUAGGCUACCUAAAAGAUGCAGGUCUGGAUUUGAUUACUUGGAGGUGAAGGCACUUGAGGAGCACCAGGUGAAUUCCCCACCACAUGCCAUGCCUGUAUUAGUGCUGAUGGGCUCUUCCUUGCCUGUGCACCACACUUCCAGCUCCUCACUGCUAUGAGAAAUGUGGGAGACAGAUUGACUAAGUCAUCUUCAGAAAACCAACCUCACAGAAUGAAUGGCAUGAGGAGUGCUCAUUUUUUAAUUAAAAAACUAAAGUUUUCUAGAACUAUGAACUGUCCAACCCAGAAGGUAUGAGAAGUGUGUGGACAUUUAGAUUUAAAUCCUAAGUUAAAUUAAAAUGUAUUACAUUUAAAAUUGUGGUUUUCAAUCACAGCAGCCACAUUUCAAGUCUUCAGCAGCGACAAGUGCUACCGUUUUGCACACCAGAAAUACAGAACAUUUACAUUACUGCGUUGUGUUUUACUAGAAAAUGGUAAUCUGAUUGCUAAAUACAGUAAUAUACUAUUCAAGGCCAACUCGGUCUUCUAACUGUCCAAUCAAUGCCGAUCUGAUACAGAACUUGGUAUUCUAUCCAGAAAAGCCACCAAAUGUUUUAAUCUUCGUCACAUCACUGAAGGUUAACAGCAUGGAAACAAUGAAAUCUGCUACAUGGUUGUACCUUGUGUUUAAUUCCUGAUAUUUCCCAUUCCAAAGAGAACAAUCCCUGCAGACCUACACUCCUACAGAAAUCUGUAGAGGAGGGAAUGUUGUCAAUUUACACAAUCAAACGUCUUAAAUGACAUGAGCUUUCUGAGUCACUCCCUUUUUGUAUCAAACACACAUAUUUCUUUGUGUUGUGAACUCCUCCUACUCAUGGAAAAUCACGAGAUGAUGCUCCUAGGGUAUUUUAUAUUCUAACUAUAACAUAUAGCUGAGGCACGUGAGCUGCUGUGCCCAAAUAUCAUGAAAACUCCAGCCUCCAUUAUUAUUUUCAUUAGAUUAGAUUAGGGAAGAGAUAUUUGGAAGGGUGAAAUUAAAGAAGAAAUAAAACAAUACCUACAAUUCAAUGAAAAUGCAGACACAACAUACCAUAUCCUGUGGGAUGUAAUGAAAGCAGCCCUAAGAGGAAAAUAUAUAGCAAUAAAUUGUCACAUUAAGAAAAUGGAAUGAGCACAAAUAAACAACCUAACUGUACAUCUCAAGCUUCUAGAAAAGGAAGAGCAAGUCAAACACAAAGCUCAUAGAAGAGAAGAAAUUAUAAAGAUCAGAGCAGAAAUUAAUGCAAUUGAAAAUAAAAAAGUACAAAGAAUUAAUGCAUAAAAGAACUAGUUUUUGAGAGAAUAAACAAAAUCGAUAAAUUUCUAGCCAAACUUAUCAAGAAAAAGAAAGAAAAAUUCAAAUUCAUGCAAUAAGAAAUGAAAAGGAAGAAGUUACUACAGGUCCCAUGAAAAUUCAAAAGAUCAUGAAUUCAUACUUCAAAAAUCUUUACUCACAUUGGGUGGAAAGUGCAGAGAAAAUAGAUUUCUAGAAACAUAUGAACUACUAAAGCUCAAUCAAGAUGAUAUAACAAUUUUGAAUAACUCAGUAUCAGCUAUUGAAAUUAAAAAUGUGAUUAAAAACUUACCAACAAAAAAAGUCCAGAUCCUGAUGGAUACACAGCUGAAUUCUACAAGAAAUUUAGAGAAGAUUUAAUGCCCAUAGUCCUCAAACUCUUCAUUGGAAUUUAAAGUGAAGCAAAUCCUUCCUAACUCAUUCCUGGAGGCAAGUAUCAAGCUGAUACCAAAACCAGAGAGAGACCCAGCCAAAAAGGAGAACUAUGGGCCAAUCUCACUAGUGAACAUUGAUGCAAAGACUGGCAAAUAGAAUGCAGCAAAUCAUCAAGACAACCAAGUAGGAUUUAUUCCAGGAAUGCAGGGAUGAUUUAACAUACAAAAAUCAAAAAAAUGUAUCACACCACAUCAACAGAGCCAAAAAUAAAAAUCACAUGGUCAUCUCAAUAGAUGCAGAAAAAGCUUUUGAUAAAGUUGAACGUCUGUUCAUGGUAAAAAAAAAAAAAAAAAAAAAAAAAAAAAAAAAAAAAAAAACCUACAGAAACUCGGAAUAGAUGGUACCUACCUCAAUCUCAUAAAAGCCAUUUAUGACAAACCAACAGUCAACAUUAUACUAAAUGGAUAAAAACUGAAACCUUCACUCUAAAAUCAGGAACAAGACAAGGAUGUCCACUAUCACCACUGCUAUUCAACAUAGUUCUAGAAAUACGAGCCAGAGCAAUCAGACAAGAGGGAGAAAUAAAAGGAAUAAAAAUAGGAAAAGAAGUUAAAUUAUCAUUAUUUACAGAUGGCAUGUUACUCUACAUAGAAGACAAAAAAAACUCCCUUAAAAGACUACUAGAGAGGGCUGGGGAUUUAGCUCAGCGGCAUAAGCACCUGCCUCGUAAGCAGGCAGUCGUGAGUUCGAUCCCUGGUACUGGUAAAAAUGAAAAAGAAAAAAAAGAAAAAAAAAAAAAAAAAAGAAGAAGAAGACUACUAGAGAUAAUAAGCAAAUUCAGCAGCAUAGCUGGAUACAAGUCAACACUCAAAUAUCAGUAGCAUUCUUGUACACAAACAAAAAACUUACUAAAAGAGAAAUUAUGGAAAUAUUACCUUUCACAGUAGCAUCUAAAAAAAUCAGAUACUUAGGAAUAAACCUAUCCAAGCAUAUAAAAGAUCUAUAUGCUGAAAAUUAUACUACUCUAAAAAAGGAGAUUGAAGAGGAUAUUAGAAAAUGGAAGGAUAUUCCUUACCCUUGGCUAAGAAAAAUUAACAUUUUGAAAAUGGCCAUACUCCCAAAACUGUUAUACAGAUUUAAUGCAAUCCCAAUCAAAAUACCAUUAACAUACCAUACACAUCUAGAGAAAAUAUUCCUAAAAUUCAUUUGGAAACAGAAGAAACCUAGAAUAGCAAAGGCAAUUCUGGGUAACAAAGGCAAGGUAAGAGGCAUCUCAAUUCCUGACCUGGAACUAUACUACAAAGCCACAGUGAUAAAAUCAGCAUGGUACGGGCAAAGAAAUAGACAUGAAGAUCAAUGGAACAGAUUAUAAGAUGCAAACACAACUAAAAAGACACUCAGCCACCUGAUAUUGACAAAGGGGCUAGCCAUGUUCACUGGAAGAGGGAUAGCCUCUUUAAUAAAUUAUGUUGGAAAAAUGACUUUCCACAUGUUGAAGACUAAAACUAUACCUAUGCCUAUUACCAUGCAUUAAACUAAAGUCAAAAUGGAUCAAAGACCUAAAUUUUAAAAUACAAACACUAAAUCUACUGGAAGACAUGGUAGGUAGAAAUCUUGGAGACAUAGGGGUAGGCAGAGAAUUCAUGAACAGAAUGCUAGCCACACGGGAAAUGCUUCAAAGAAUCAACAACUGGGAUCUCAUAUUACUAAAAAAUGUUUGCAGUUCAAAAGAAAUCACCAACAAAGUGAAAAGAAAAUCCACAGAAUGGGAAAGAAUUUUAGCUGACAAUCCCUCAGACAAAGGACUUAUAUCCAGAACAUAGAAAGAAUUGAAAAACAUCAAGCCCCCCCAAAAAUAUUCAAAGACCCUCUCCAAAAAUUGACAUCUGAGAUGAACAUAUAGUUCUCAUAUGAAGAUAUACAAGUGGCAAAUAAAUACAUGAAGAAAUGCUCACCAUCACUGGUCAUUCAAGAAAUGCAAAUUAAAACAACACUGAGAUUUCAUCUUGCCCCAGAAAGAAUGGCUGCCAUGAAGAAAUCAAAUGUUAACAAAUGUUGGCAAGGAUGUGGGGAAAAAGGAACACUGAUCCAUGUUGGUGGGAGUAUAGAAUGGUGCAGCCACUUUGGAAAUCAGCAUGGCGAUUCCUCAGCAAACUAGGAGUGGGGAAGUCCCAUUCAAUACAGCUAUUCACUUCCUGAGUAUUUUCCAAGAAAAACGGAAAUGGUCAUAUCACAGUGAUAUAUAUGCACCCAUUUUCAUAGCAGCACAAUUUGUAAUAGGUAAAUCUUGGAAACAACCAAAAUGCCCAAUAACCACAGACUGGAUGAAAAAGAUGUGGUAUUUUUAUACAAUCAAAUAUUACUCAGCAAUAAAAAUGGAUGAUCUUGAGGCAACUUGCGACUAUCCUCAUAAGUGAAAUAAGCAAGACUCACACUAGUAAGCAUCACAUUGUCUCACUAAUAUAAAAAAAUAAUAAAAACAGAGUAAUAAGAUCCAAAAUAUAUAAUUGAUAUUGCAAAAAUGAAAGGGAAGGAAAGUGCUCUAAAAGAUAUCUCUGUAUGUAUAAGUGUGUAAGAUAAAUGAACAUAUGACUAAAUUUUUGUUGGAUCAUUAAACAGAAUGGUUUACACCAUCAAUGUUUGUGUGUCUAUCUACUUUUUCUGCUUUGCUUUUGCAUCUUGAACAACCAUUUCUAAUGUGACAAUAUGUAACAUAUCAACUAGAGAGUUCUUAGUGUUAAUUUUUUUUGAAUUCUGUAUUAUCUUACCUUUUCUUCUAUUUUGUUUUUUUCUUUCUUUAAAUAAGUAAAAAAUAAAUAAAAUAAAAAGAAUCAUGACUCAUCUUCCAUGUAAAGAUAGAUAAAGCUUUCGGAUUCUAACAUCUAUAAUAUUAAUAAUGCUAUAAUACUGCAUCAAAUAUAAAAAUUGAACUCAGUUCAAAUUCUUCAGCCUCAUAUCCUGUCCAAAACUAAUCCUGCAUAUCCUGAAAGGCUGUCCUCUGGGCUCAGAAAGCCACCCAUGUUGUUUAGAAGUCUCACUUUUUACUGCCUUAUGUUUAUAGAGGCUGUUUAAGAAUCGGUCACUUCCCCAGUCAGUCCAUGAGAGCCCUGAGAUAUUAAGUCUCCUUUCUUCCUGAGUCCUUCUUGCACACACAAUGAGUGUAUACUGAAUGCAUAUUGAGGGGAUGAUGAAGAAGGAGCCCUCGUCUCCCAUCUCCAAGGAACUCAGGGUUUGGAAUACUUCACUCCAAGUUCAUCUUAACUUGAGAGUUUGGGCUGAAAAGUCUGCCAUGAAUCUAAUGGAUUUUCCUUGAUAGAAAGCUCCUUGGCAUUCAUUCUCUGUUGCUGUUUCUGAAGUUCCUCUGCAGAUAAUUCUGACUAUUCCUCCAUUAGUUCCUCACAAUCACCAGUGUCUACCUGCAAGCCUACCAACUCUGAAAUAAUGACAAUGUCUUCAACCACAGCUGCUAGAGGCCAGGCCACAGUGACGCCACAUCUCUGCAGCCCAGGACCCAGAGGCUGAGAAACCGGACUCCAGGAGGCUUGAGGCUGUGCUGGGCAGGAAAGGAAUGAAGCCAGGAGAACCUCAAAGUCCAGCCUGCUAGGAACCGACACCAAUAGAUGAGCAAGGAGUCCUGAAGCUUCAGUGAACAUGAUGAAGACAGAGGCGGUUCUGCACGCAGCCCUGAGCUCUGAAAGUAGCCUGCACACCUAUGACAUCGUGGCUGUGGUCAUCUACUUUGUCUUCGUCAUCGCUGUGGGGAUCUGGGCAUCAAUCCGUGCAAACCGAGGGACCAUUGGUGGUUAUUUCCUGGCAGGCAGGUCCAUGAGUUGGUGGCCGAUUGGAGCAUCUCUGAUGUCCAGCAAUGUGGGCAGUGGCUUGUUCAUCGGCCUGGCUGGCACAGGGGCUGCUGGGGGCCUCGCUGUGGGUGGCUUUGAGUGGAAUGCAACCUUCCUGCUUGUGGCCCUUGGUUGGAUCUUUGUCCCUGUGUACAUUGCAGCUGGUGUGGUCACUACGCCACAGUACCUCAAGAAGCGAUUUGGGGGUGAAAGGAUCCAGGUGUAUAUGUCUGUCCUGUCUCUCAUCCUCUACAUCUUCACCAAGAUAUCGACUGACAUCUUCUCUGGAGCCCUCUUCAUCCAGAUGGCUUUGGGCUGGAACCUCUACCUCUCCACAGGGAUCCUGCUCGUGGUGACAGCUAUCUACACCAUCACAGGGGGCCUCACGGCCGUGAUCUACACAGAUGCUCUGCAGACAGUGAUCAUGGUAGGGGGAGCCCUGGUCCUCAUGUUUCUAGGCUUUCAGAAGGUAGGCUGGUACCCAGGCCUGCAGCAGCUCUACAGCCAGGCCCUUCCUAAUGUCACAGUCCCCAACACCACUUGUCACCUCCCACGGCCAGAUGCCUUCCACAUGCUUCGUGACCCCGUGAGCGGGGACAUUCCCUGGCCAGGGAUCAUUUUUGGGCUCACAGUACUGGCUACCUGGUGUUGGUGCACAGAUCAGGUCAUUGUGCAGAGGUCUCUGUCUGCCAAGAAUCUGUCCCAUGCCAAAGGAGGCUCAGUGCUGGGGGGCUACCUGAAAAUCCUCCCCAUGUUCUUCAUCGUCAUGCCUGGCAUGAUCAGCAGGGCCCUGUACCCAGAUGAGGUGGGCUGUGUGGAUCCUGAUGUCUGCCAAAGAGUGUGUGGGGCCCGCGUGGGAUGUUCCAACAUCGCCUAUCCCAAGCUGGUCAUGGCUCUCAUGCCCAUAGGUCUGCGGGGCCUGAUGAUCGCGGUGAUCAUGGCGGCCCUCAUGAGCUCCUUCACCUCCAUCUUCAACAGCAGCAGCACCCUGUUCGCCAUCGACGUGUGGCAGCGUUUCCGCAGGAGGGCCACAGAGCAGGAGCUGAUGGUGGUGGGCAGGGUGUUUGUGGUGUUCCUGGUGGUCGUCAGCAUCCUCUGGAUCCCCAUCAUCCAGAGCUCCAGCAGCGGGCAGCUCUUCGACUACAUCCAGUCUGUCACUAGCUACCUGGCACCGCCCGUCACUGCCCUCUUCCUGCUGGCCAUCUUCUGCAGGAGAGUCACAGAGCCUGGAGCCUUUUGGGGCCUCAUGUUUGGCCUGGGAGUGGGCCUUCUGCGCAUGAUCCUCGAGUUCUCUUACCCAGCCCCAGCUUGUGGUGAGGUGGACCGGAGGCCAGCCGUGCUGAAGGACUUCCACUAUCUGUACUUUGCCCUGCUUCUCUGUGGGCUCACUGCAAUCGUCAUUGUCAUCAUCAGCCUCUGUACGACACCCAUCCCUGAGGAAAAGCUCACUCCCUUGACCUGGUGGACACGAAACUGCCCCACCUCUGAGCUGGAGAAGGGGGCCUGCGAGAGCCAGAGCGAGAGGGAGAGUGUGCCAGGGAGGUCUGAGAGACUGGUCCAGGAAAGCCUCUCAGGAAGAGUCGCCCCAGGGAACUGCAGCCAGGGCCCAGAGCAGCCCGGAGAUGCUGGUUUAGAAUCAGCAAGAGAAGAAGCUCCACUGACAGGCAGCAGGUGGAGGUUCCGGGGAGCAGAGUGUCUCCUCCUUGACUGCAGGGAGGUGCUACUGUGCACUGCUGUGUGAGCACUGCUUGCCGGCAGUGAGGCCACCAUUUGAAAGGCCUGAAGGAAUGUUUCUAUGGAUUCCAGAGUGCAAGUGAGUGAUCAGAUUAAGGAGGAUUCCUUCGGUUUCUAGUCUUGGGGGACGCCCCAAGGUUCCCCUGAGGAACAGCAGGAGCAACCUGCCUACGCGAACGUAGCUGUGUAAUGGCUACACUAGUUCAUGGUGGUGGAUGUGAAGUAUUUUGACCCAGCAUAAGAAAGUGACUAAUACAACAAAGCACAUAACUGGAAAAGAAACCAGCACACCUAAGAACUUCCACAGAAACCUAACCAAAGAGCCUAUUCCCUCCUCCCACCCCAGGAAUGACUUAGUUACCAGAAAAGCAGGUUACACAAAGCUGUAUCAUCCCAUGCUUGCUCCUCUGCACACCGUUUGGCCUUCUGCCUAAACACCAUGUUAUGAUGAAGUACAAGGCCCUCCCAUGUGGCCACCUGACCUUGUACUUCCAGCCUCCAGAACGGAGCCAAGACAAACAUCUCUUCUUUAUAAAUCACCCAGUCACAGGUAUUGUUAUAGCAGUGGAAAACAGAGUAUGACAACUGCUGACAGUUCAAGUUAGGAAAGACUGAAUAUGGACUUUGGAUAUUAGCAAUGGUGAGUAAUAACAUCAGCAUGAAUAACUUUGACAGAAUGAUAAAAGUUAAAUUCUGAAGUUGAACUGAAGAGAGAAUGAAAAGAGAGGAACUGGAUUCAUUUAACAAAUAUGUGAUUAUCAGUCACUGUUGUAAGUGUUGGAAUUACAAUAGUAAUCAAAGCAAUGUGCCUAACAGAUCAUCAUGUAGCAGUGCUAUUUAUUAAAUGUGAUCUUUAGGAAAACUUUAAUCCUUCUCAUACUCAUUUCCCUAACAUGUAAAACAGGCUUAAUAGCAGCCUAAUUUAUUUAAAGGAUCUUUUAUAACAUCUAGUAUAAAUUACACAAUAAAUUUAAUAUUAAAACACAAGUCCUAUGCAGCUUUUUGCUUCACCAUUACCACAAUUUUCACUGCUUUUCAGAAUUAUACCACUAUGUGAUGAGUCAGUAAGCAGCUGAGAGAAUCAAGUUUUCAUCCCAGAACCAAAGAGUACAUAGUUCAUAUGACUCAAUUUCAACCCCAAAUAAAUUACCAGCAAAAGGAUGGUCUAGACUGGUUUAAUAAAAGUUUUUGCAGUGUUAAGUAUUCACUGAAAGGAAGCAAAUCCACAGUGAGUAUCAAGACCAAGAAGCAGACAGCCUAUCAGUGGUCAACAGUGUAAGUGAAUGUGCUGAGAAUUAAUGGGAAGGGGUUGAGGCACUGGGCUUUCCCUAGUUAUCUCCAACAUUAGCCCUCAGACUACAGAAAGAGAUUUUCUCCUCAUUAAUUCCAACUCCAAUUUAGUCAUGUUGGCCAGUACAACACUUCAUUUUUCAUUAACCCUUUCUUUUUUUCUGAAGAAAGAAAGUCAAUAGAACAAGCAGAAUUACAAUCAAGGGCAGCAAAGAGGAAGGAGGAGAAUGACCAUCUCAACAGGGAGAAAGGAAAAGGCAAGAUGAACGAUGCUGAGGACCACACGCCCAUCUCCAUGGGAAAGUAACAGAGCAUAUCACAGAGGUGCUCAAUAAUAUUCAACAUUUAUUAAGGAUCUUCUAUGUGUAAAGAACUGAAGAAGAUAGAGAAUAACAUCAGAAAAUAUAAGCAACAUCAAGCUACAAUCCAGAAUGGAAGACAUAAAAAACAAGUAAUGGUAAAACAAUCAAAAUAAAUUAGAAUUAGGGCCGGGAUUUAGCUGAGUGGCACAAGCACCUGCCUGGAAAGUGCAAGGUCAUGAGUUCGAUCCCCAGUACCAAACAAACAAACAAACAAUAAAUAAAAUAAAAUAAAAUUAAGUGGAUAUAUAAGUAAGUAUAUAAUGAGAACAAAGCCAGAAAUGUAUUCUUUUCAUAAAAUUAGACUAUGUGUUUGUUUUGGAAAGUGUAAUAUCAAAAUGGAAGGCUAGGUUAUAUACUUUAAUAGUGGCAUAGACCUUUGAUAAGAAACCUUACCUUUAGAAGAGCUUUUCCGUAGCUUACGCGUUUCCCCUUAAGUUUAUUAUUUUUCCAAAAACCAAACAGAAUAUUAUCUCUGCCUCAUUACAAAAAAGUAUAUUUUCUGGAUAACCGCUUAUGAGUCCAAAUAACUAAGUUCAAAUCUCUGCUAGUGACAGGACCUAGAGCAAGUUAUUUGCCUUAUUUAAGCUUUGGCUUCCUUAUGAAUAUACUAGAAAAAUAAUCUUACAGAAUUAACCAAAAUUUAAAGGGAUAAAAUUACUGAAGACAUCUAACAGAAGGUUUACCUCAAGACACUAAUAUAUAUUUCCUGUUUAUAGCAUUUAUAUUUCAGCAUAAAGAGGCCUUUUUUUACCCUUUUAAAAAGUUCUUUGAAUUUAUUUUCUAUGAUUUUACAAAUACAAUACUUUCAAUAUUAUAAUGCUUCAAUUGUAUCCAGGUUUUAAAAUCUAUUUUUAAGUUUAUUUUAAGUUGUUACAGAUGAAAACAUUUUACAAACAGUUACAAAAGUUAAUAAACCAAACUAUGAUUAAUAGCAUACCUUUCAAAUCUGUGAUUUGGUUAUAUCACUUUUAAGAUUCCUGAAAUGGUGCUUAAACAAUAAACUAAUGUAUUAAAUCAUAUUCAUGACUAUGAAAUUUUUAUACUUAUAAGAACAUGAAAGUAAAAUUAAUGAAGCCAAGAGUUAAUUACUAAGUGUAUGUGAAAUAAGAAAUUCACAUAUCCUAGCAACAGAGAUACAGCUCAGUGCCACCAGUGCCUGCCUGGAAAGUGUGAAGUUGUGAGUUGGAUCUCCAGUACCAAAACAAAUAAAUAAAUAGAGAAAUUCACUUAUCCAACACAUAUGUACUGAAAGCCUACUUCAUGUCUGGAACUAUACACUGUAAUCUAAAAGUUCUCCUUUGUUUCAGGGCAGGAAAAUUAAGAAACAAGUAUUAAUUUAAACAGAACUAGCUGAGUAGUAGUUGCUAAAGUUUGUAGGAAGUAAGUUCAGUGUACAUACAAUAUACAGUAUGUCAAGAAGAUACUAUAAUUUUGAAAGAAAGAGAAAUAGAUAUAGAUAACUAAGAUCAGUUUCUAACUUCACUGAUACCAUUGCUUGGUGAAUCUUUAUAUAUCAGGCGAAUGAGCAAGUACUAUCUUAUUUGAUUUAAAAAUCCACACAUUCAGUAUCUGGUUUGGUUCAAGGAAGUUGUAUUUUGUACCAGAGCAUAAUUUAAAAGAAAUUCUAAAAAAAUAAAAAUGAUAAGAAAAUGAUUUCUAAAUAUAUCAGUUAUAGGGGGCGAAAGCCAUCUUCUAUUAAGCUACUGUUCAGUACAGACACAGAAUCAGAGACGGAGACAGAGACAGAGACAGAGACAGAGACAAAGACAUAUCACACAAAUGACUUUAAAUCUGCACAUCAACCUUACAAGGUAGGUAUACUUCACACAAGAGGAAAAUGAAGCAAA